rnacentral:rRNA from 1 species
GACGAACGCUGGCGGCGUGCUUAACACAUGCAAGUCGUACGGUAAGGCCCUUUCGGGGGUACACGAGUGGCGAACGGGUGAGUAACACGUGAGUAACCUGCCCACAACUUUGGGAUAACGCUAGGAAACUGGUGCUAAUACUGGAUAUGUGCUCCUGCUGCAUGGUGGGGGUUGGAAAGCUCCGGCGGUUGUGGAUGGACUCGCGGCCUAUCGGCUUGUUGGUGGGGUAGUGGCCUACCAAGGCGGCGGCGGGUAGCCGGCCUGAGAGGGUGACCGGCCACAUUGGGACUGAGAUACGGCCCAGACUCCGACGGGAGGCAGAAGGGGGGAAGAUUGCACAAUGGGCGCAAGCCUGAUGCAGAAGCGCCGCGUGCGGGAUGACGGCCUUCGGGUUGUAAACCGCUUUCAGCAGGGACGAAGCUUUUUGUGACGGUACCUGCAGAAGAAGCACCGGCUAACUACGUG